rnacentral:rRNA from 1 species
CCAAUAGCGUAUAUUAAAGUUGUUGCAGUUAAAAAGCUCGUAGUUGAAUUUUAGGCCUGGCCGGACGGUCCGUCUCUGGCGAGUACUGUUCUGUCGUCGGGUCUAUCCUUCUGGUGAGCCGGUAUGUUCUUAAUUGGGCGUGUCGGGGAACCAGGACCAUUACCUUGAAAAAAUUAGAGUGUUUAAAGCAGGCUUUUGCUUGAAUAGAUUAGCAUGGAAUAAUAGAAUAGGACGUUGUGGUUCUAUUUUGUUGGUUCUAGGACCACCGUAAUGAUUAAUAGGGAUAGUUUGGGGCAUUAGUAUUCAAUUGUCAGAGGUGAAAUUCUUGGAUUUAUUGAAGACUAACUACUGCGAAAGCAUUUGCCAAGGAUGUUUUCAUUAAUCAAGAACGAAAGUUAGGGGAUCGAAGACGAUCAGAUACCGUCGUAGUCUUAACCAUAAACUAUGCCGACUAGGAAUCGGGCGACGUUAUUUUCACGACUCGCUCGGCGCCUUAUG